UUAUUGGAGAGUUUGAUCCUGGCUCAGGAUGAACGCUGGCGGCGUGCCUAAUACAUGCAAGUCGAGCGAAUGGAUUAAGAGCUUGCUCUUAUGAAGUUAGCGGCGGACGGGUGAGUAACACGUGGGUAACCUGCCCAUAAGACUGGGAUAACUCCGGGAAACCGGGGCUAAUACCGGAUAACAUUUUGAACCGCAUGGUUCGAAAUUGAAAGGCGGCUUCGGCUGUCACUUAUGGAUGGACCCGCGUCGCAUUAGCUAGUUGGUGAGGUAACGGCUCACCAAGGCAACGAUGCGUAGCCGACCUGAGAGGGUGAUCGGCCACAC
rnacentral:rRNA from 1 species